UACAGAGGUCUCAAGCGUGUUCGGAUUCAUUGGGCGUAAAGGGUGCGUAGGUGGCGCCGUAAGUCAGGUGUGAAAUUUCGGAGCUUAACUCCGAAACUGCAUUUGAUACUGCGGUGCUUGAGGACUGGAGAGGAGACUGGAAUUCACGGUGUAGCAGUGAAAUGCGUAGAUAUCGUGAGGAAGACCAGUGGCGAAGGCGGGUCUCUGGACAGUUCCUGACACUGAGGCACGAAGGCUAGGGGAGCAAACGGG
rnacentral:rRNA from 1 species